rnacentral:rRNA from 1 species
AGUGAACGCUGGCGGUAGGCCUAACACAUGCAAGUCGAACGGCAGCACAGUAAGAGCUUGCUCUUACGGGUGGCGAGUGGCGGACGGGUGAGGAAUACAUCGGAAUCUACUUUUUCGUGGGGGAUAACGUAGGGAAACUUACGCUAAUACCGCAUACGACCUACGGGUGAAAGCAGGGGAUCUUCGGACCUUGCGCGAUUGAAUGAGCCGAUGUCGGAUUAGCUAGUUGGCGGGGUAAAGGCCCACCAAGGCGACGAUCCGUAGCUGGUCUGAGAGGAUGAUCAGCCACACUGGAACUGAGACACGGUCCAGACUCCUACGGGAGGCAGCAGUGGGGAAUAGUGGGCAAUGGGCGCAAGCCUGAUCCAGCCAUACCGCGUGGGUGAAGAAGGCCUUCGGGUUGUAAAGCCCUUUUGUUGGGAAAGAAAAGCAGCAGGUUAAUACCCCGCUGUUCUGACGGUACCCAAAGAAUAAGCACCGGCUAACUUCGUG